AUCCCGGUCGCGGACUCCAGAGACGGAGUUCUUCAGUUCGGCUGGACCGGAGACAGGUGCUGCAUGGCUGUCGUCAGCUCGUGUCGUGAGAUGUUGGGUUAAGUCCCGCAACGAGCGCAACCCCCGUCCUUAGUUGCUACCAUUUAGUUGAGCACUCUAAGGAGACUGCCGGUGAUAAGCCGCGAGGAAGGUGGGGAUGACGUCAAGUCCUCAUGGCCCUUACGGGCUGGGCUACACACGUGCUACAAUGGCGGUGACAAUGGGAAGCGAAGACGCAAGUCCUAGCAAAUCUCAAAAAGCCGUCUCAGUUCGGAUUGGGCUCUGCAACUCGAGCCCAUGAAGUUGGAAUCGCUAGUAAUCGUGGAUCAGCACGCCACGGUGAAUACGUUCCCGGGCCUUGUACACACCGCCCGUCACACCAUGGGAGUUGGUUUUACCUGAAGACGGUGCGCUAACCGAAAGGGGGCAGCCGGCCACGGUAGGGUCAGCGACUGGGGUGAAGUCGUAACAAGGUAAGCGUAGAUGA
rnacentral:rRNA from 1 species